GGAUUCCCCUAGUAGCGGCGAGCGAAGCGGGAAGAGCUCAAAUUUAUAAUCUGGCACCUUCGGUGUCCGAGUUGUAAUCUCUAGAAAUGUUUUCCGCGUUGGACCGCACACAAGUCUGUUGGAAUACAGCGGCAUAGUGGUGAGACCCCCGUAUAUGGUGCGGACGCCCAGCGCUUUGUGAUACAUUUUCGAAGAGUCGAGUUGUUUGGGAAUGCAGCUCAAAUUGGGUGGUAAAUUCCAUCUAAAGCUAAAUAUUGGCGAGAGACCGAUAGCGAACAAGUACCGUGAGGGAAAGAUGAAAAGCACUUUGGAAAGAGAGUUAACAGUACGUGAAAUUGUUGGAAGGGAAACGCUUGAAGUCAGACUUGCUUGCCGAGCAAUCGGUUUGCAGGCCAGCAUCAGUUUUCCGGGAUGGAUAAUGGUAGAGAGAAGGUAGCAGUUUCGGCUGUGUUAUAGCUCUCUGCUGGAUACAUCUUGGGGGACUGAGGAACGCAGUGUGCCUUUGGCGGGGGUUUCGACCUCUUCACACUUAGGAUGCUGGUGGAAUGGCUUUAAACGACCCGUCUUGAAACACGGACCUCCUGUGUGAA
rnacentral:rRNA from 1 species